rnacentral:misc_RNA from 1 species
GAUGAAGAACGCAGCGAAAUGCGAUACGUAAUGUGAAUUGCAAAUUCAGUGAAUCAUCGAGUCUUUGAACGCACAUUGCGCCCCCUGGUAUUCCGGGGGGCAUGCCUGUCCGAGCGUCAUUACUGCCCUCAAGCCCGGCUUGUGUGUUGGGCCCCGUCCUCCGAUCCCGGGGGACGGGCCCGAAAGGCAGCGGCGGCACCGCGUCCGGUCCUCGAGCGUAUGGGGCUUUAUCACCCGCUCUGUAGGCCCGGCCGGCGCUUGCCGAUCAACCCCAAUUUUUAUAGGUUGACCUCGGAUCAGGUAGGGAUACCCGCUGAACUUAAGCAUAUCAAUAAGCGGAGGA